rnacentral:rRNA from 1 species
GGCCUGGCUGGUCGGUCCGCCUAACCGCGUGCACUGAUUCGGCCGGGUCUUUCCUUCUGGCUAACCCCAUGCCCUUCACUGGGUGUGGCGGGGAUCCAGGACUUUUACUUUGAAAAAAUUAGAGUGUUCAAAGCAGGCGUAACUCGCCUCCGAAUACGUUAGCAUGGGAUAAUGGAAUAC